AGAGUUUGAUCCUGGCUCAGAGCGAACGCUGGCGGCGUGCUUAACACAUGCAAGUCGAGUGCGCGCCCGUAGCAAUACGGGUGGCGCACGGCGCACGGGUGCGUAACACGUGGGUAACCUGCCCUUUGAUGGGGAAUAACCCCGCGAAAGCGGGGCUAAUUCCGCAUAAGAUCCGCAAGGAUGAAAGCCGUAAGGCGUCGAAGGAGGGGCCUGCGCACGAUUAGCUAGUUGGUAGGGUAACGGCCUACCAAGGCUUUGAUCGUUAGCUGGUCUGAGAGGAUGGCCAGCCACACUGGAACUGAGACACGGUCCAGACUCCUACGGGAGGCAGCAGUGGGGAAUCUUGCACAAUGGGCGAAAGCCUGAUGCAGCGACGCCGCGUGGGGGAUGAAGCUUCUCGGAGUGUAAACCCCUUUCGACCCGGACGAAUACCUCGCAAGAGGGGUGACGGUACGGGUAUAAGAAGCCCCGGCUAACUACGUGCCAGCAGCCGCGGUAAGACGUGGGGGGCCAGCGUUGCUCGGAAUUACUGGGUGUAAAGGGUCAGUAGGCGGUGUGGCAAGUCGGGAGUGAAAUCUCUGGGCUUAACUCAGAGACUGCUUCCGAAACUGCUGUGCUUGAGUGUGGGAGAGGCGCGUGGAAUUGCAGGUGUAGCGGUGAAAUGCGUAGAUAUCUGCAGGAACACCCGUGGCGAAAGCGGCGCGCUGGACCACAACUGACGCUGAAUGACGAAAGCUAGGGGAGCAAACAGGAUUAGAUACCCUGGUAGUCCUAGCCCUAAACGAUCAGGACUUGGGGUGCCACCCGUUCGGGUGUCGUCCCGGAGCUAACGCGUUAAGUCCUGCACCUGGGGAGUACGGUCGCAAGACUGAAACUCAAAGGAAUUGACGGGGGCCCGCACAAGCGGUGGAACAUGUGGUUCAAUUCGACGCUACGCGGAGGAACCUUACCUGGGCCCGAA
rnacentral:rRNA from 1 species